rnacentral:rRNA from 1 species
AAUGAACGCUGGCGGCGUGCUUAACACAUGCAAGUCGAUCGGUAACGCGGGGGCAACCCUGGCGACGAGAGGCGGACGGGUGAGGAACGCUUGGGAAUCUGCCUAUCAGCGGGGGACAACCCGGGGAAACUCGGGCUAAUACCGCAUACGCGCUACGGAGGAAAGCCGGGGACCGCAAGGCCUGGCACUGAUAGAUGAGCCCAAGUCGGAUUAGCUAGUUGGCGGGGUAACGGCCCACCAAGGCGACGAUCCGUAGCUGGUCUGAGAGGACGAUCAGCCACACUGGGACUGAGACACGGCCCAGACUCCUACGGGAGGCAGCAGUGGGGAAUAUUGGACAAUGGGGGAAACCCUGAUCCAGCGACGCCGCGUGGGUGAAGAAGGCCUGCGGGUUGUAAAGCCCUUUCGGUAGGGACGAAAGCUCUCGACCUAACACGUCGGGAGGUUGACUUAACCUACAAAAGAAGCACCGGCUAACUCUGUGCCAGCAGCCGCCGUAAGAC